UGCAAGUCGAGGGGCAUCAGUUUGGUUUGCUUGCAAACCAAAGCUGGCGACCGGCGCACGGGUGAGUAACACGUAUCCAACCUGCCUCAUACUCCGGGGAUAGCCUUUCGAAAGAAAGAUUAAUAUCCGAUAGCAUAUAUUUCCCGCAUGGGUUUUAUAUUAAAGAAAUUCGGUAUGAGAUGGGGAUGCCCCGUUCCAUUAGUUUGUUGGGGGGUAACGGCCCACCUAGUCUUCGAUGGAUAGGGGUUCUGAGAGGAAGGUCCCCCACAUUGGAACUGAGACACGGUCCAAACUCC
rnacentral:rRNA from 1 species